rnacentral:rRNA from 1 species
AGAACGAACGCUGGCGGCAUGCCUAACACAUGCAAGUCGAACGAGAUCUUCGGGUCUAGUGGCGCACGGGUGCGUAACGCGUGGGAACCUGCCUUGAGGUUCGGAAUAACUCCCCGAAAGGGGUGCUAAUACCGGAUAAUGUCUUCGGACCAAAGAUUUAUCGCCUUUAGAUGGGCCCGCGUUGGAUUAGCUAGUUGGUGGGGUAAAGGCCUACCAAGGCGACGAUCCAUAGCUGGUCUGAGAGGAUGAUCAGCCACACUGGGACUGAGACACGGCCCAGACUCCUACGGGAGGCAGCAGUGGGGAAUAUUGGACAAUGGGCGAAAGCCUGAUCCAGCAAUGCCGCGUGAGUGAUGAAGGCCUUAGGGUUGUAAAGCUCUUUACUGGGGAUGAUAAUGACAGUACCCAGAGAAUAAGCUCCGGCUAACUCCGUGCCAGCAGCCGC